rnacentral:rRNA from 1 species
CCUACGGGAGGCAGCAGUGGGGAAUAUUGCACAAUGGGGGAAACCCUGAUGCAGCGACGCCGCGUGAGUGAAGAAGUAACUCGUUACGUAAAGCUCUAUCAGCAGGGAAGAAAAUGACGGUACCUGAGUACGAAGCCCCGGCUAACUACGUGCCAGCAGCCGCGGUAAUACGUAGGGGGCAAGCGUUAUCCGGAUUUACUGGGGGUAAAGGGAGCGUAGACGGUGCGCCAAGUCUGGAGUGAAAUGCCGGAGCUUAACUGCGGAACUGCUUUUGAAACUGGCGAACUAGAGUGCGGGAGGGGUAAGCGGAAUUCCUGGUGUAGCGGUGAAAUGCGUAGAUAUUAGGAGGAACACCGGUGGCGAAGGCAGCUUACUGGACCGUAACUGACGUUGAGGCUCGAAAGCGUGGGGAGCAAACAGGAUUAGAUACCCGAGUAGUC